rnacentral:rRNA from 1 species
UAUCUCUGUAGAGUCUGCAUAUCAAUAAGCGGAGGAAAAGAAACUAACUAGGAUUCCCUUAGUAACGGCGAGUGAAGCGGGAAGAGCUCAAAUUUGAAAUCUUCAAGGUUUUACCUUGACGAAUUGUAGUUUAAAGAAGUGUUUUCUGUUGGUGUUUUGGUAAAAGUUCUUUGGAAUAGGACAUCAUAGAGGGUGAGAAUCCCGUAUUUGACCAUUACUUCCAGCGUUGUGAUACACUUUCAAAGAGUCGGAUUGUUUGGGAAUGCAGUCCAAAAUGGGUGGUAAAUUUCAUCUAAAGCUAAAUAUUGGCGAGAGACCGAUAGCGAACAAGUACCGUGAGGGAAAGAUGAAAAGAACUUUGAAAAGAGAGUUAAACAGUACGUGAAAUUGUCAAAAGGGAAGCGUUUGACACCAGUGUUGUUUUUCUGAAAAUCAAUUAAAGAACUGUUUAUGCUAAGUUGUUUAGACUUUAUCAGCUAACUGUUUAGUUUUGAGCUUUUCUUUAAUGCACUUUUCAGUUAACAAGUCAACAUCAAUUUCUUUUGCUGUAAAAAAGCUUGAGGAAGGUGGCUUGAGAUUCGUCUUAAGUGUUUAUAGCCUCUUGCCUAUGCAGUCGGAGAGAUUGAGGUCUGCAGCGUAGAUCCUUCGGGGCUAAAUGCAUUUGUGCUAAGUUAUAGCAUUUUAUAGACAACUUGUUGACUAUGAUUUGUCUUGUAGCUUACUCGUAUUGCUCUAUUUUACCUACGCUUAGGAUGUUGACGAUCAGCUGAGCGCG